GAAAUGCGAUAAGUAGUGUAAAUUAUAGAAUUUAGUAAAUUAUCAAAUCUUUGAACGCACAUUGCGCCCCUUGGUAUUCCGUGGGGUAUGCCUGUUCGAGCGUUAUCUACACCCUUAAGCUCUGCUUAGUGUUAGGCGUCUAUCCCGCCUUCGCGCGUGGACUCGCCCUAAAUGCAUUGGCAGUGGUCCUUGCCCCCUCCCGCGCAGCACAUUGCGCUUCUCGAGGCUGUGGCGGCCCGCGUCUAAUAAGCUGAACCCCCCUGUCUUUGACCUUGGAUCAGGUAGGGAUACCCGCUGAACUUAAGC
rnacentral:misc_RNA from 1 species